CUGUAAUGUACCGGAUACGCUACAAGAUGGCGUCCUCAUGGAAUACAGUGCUUGCAUAACAAGAAUGAAUAGGGUAAGGAUCCACUGUCUCAUUGGUCCAUAUCGUCCUUUGGUCCAUAUGACCAGAAGAGAUCUCAUAGAACAUAGGUGUUGUUGACACACCAUGAUUGAUUUGUCGAAUUCCAUUUGCUGUACAUAAUUAUGACCUGCGGUUAAAAAGGGCAUGUGACCAUUCGAAAACAAAUGA